AGCGGCGGACGGGUGAGUAACGCGUGGGUAACCUGCCCUGUACACACGGAUAACAUACCGAAAGGUAUGCUAAUACGAGAUAGUACAGGAUGGACCCGCGUCUGAUUAGCUAGUUGGUAAGGUAACGGCUUACCAAGGCGACGAUCAGUAGCCGACCUGAGAGGGUGAUCGGCCACAUUGGAACUGAGACACGGUCCAAACUCCUACGGGGGGCAGCAGUGGGGAAUAUUGCACAAUGGGCGAAAGCCUGAUGCAGCAACGCCGCGUGAGCGAUGAAGGCCUUCGGGUCGUAAAGCUCUGUCCUCAAGGAAGCGGUACUUGAGGAGGAAGCCCCGGCUAACUACGUGCCAGCAGCCGCGGUAAUACGUAGGGGGCUAGCGUUAUCCGGAAUUACUGGGCGUAAAGGGUGCGUAGGUGGUUUCUUAAGUCGGAGGUGAGAGGCUACGGCUCAACCGUAGUAAGCCUUUGAAACUGGGAAACUUGAGUGCAGGAGAGGAGAGUGGAAUUCCUAGUGUAGCGGUGAAAUGCGUAGAUAUUAGGAGGAACACCAGUUGCGAAGGCGGCUCUCUGGACUGUAACUGACACUGAGGCACGAAAGCGUGGGGAGCAAACAGGAUUAGAUACCCUGGUAGUCCACGCCGUAAACGAUGAGUACUAGCUGUCGGACGGUGGCGCAGCUAACGCA
rnacentral:rRNA from 1 species